rnacentral:rRNA from 1 species
AUUGAACGCUGGCGGCAGGCUUAACACAUGCAAGUCGAGCGGAGAUGAGGUGCUUGCACCUUAUCUUAGCGGCGGACGGGUGAGUAAUGCUUAGGAAUCUGCCUAUUAGUGGGGGACAACAUUCAGAAAGGAAUGCUAAUACCGCAUACGUCCUACGGGAGAAAGCAGGGGAUCUUCGGACCUUGCGCUAAUAGAUGAGCCUAAAUCGGAUUAGCUAGUUGGUGGGGUAAAGGCCUAACAAGGCGAAGAUCUGUAGCGGGUCUGAGAGGAUGAUCCGCCACACUGGGACUGGGACACGGCCCAGACUCCUACGGGAGGCAGCAGUGGGGAAUAUUGGACAAUGGGGGGAACCCUGAUCCAGCCAUGCCGCGUGUGUGAAGAAGGCCUUAUGGUUGUAAAGCACUUUAAGCGAGGAGGAGGCUACUGAGACUAAUACUCUUGGAUAGUGGACGUUACUCGCAGAAUAAGCACCGGCUAACUCUGUGCCAGCCGCCGCGGUAACAC